CCUCAGUCUUGAUCUGGGAUGCUAAGACUUGGUCCACCGAAAAAGGGAGAAUAGUGUGAAAAUAAUUUUGGAAACUGGACUGUCUUGCUGUGCUGAAUGGAUCCUGACUUGUGUAUCAGAGAUGGGAGACCAAUAGCCCAUGAAGUCUCUUCCUCUGUCUUGAUCUGUGAUGCUAAGACUUGGUCCACUGAAAAAACCAUGAGAAGAGUAUGAAAACUAUUUCAGAAACUGGACUGUAUCUGUGCUUAAUAGGUAUUGAACUGUGUACCAGAGACGGGACACUAAUAGCUGACCCUAACUUGGUCCACCAAAUAGCAAAGAGAGAAAGUUUUUUCAGAAACUGGGCUGUCCUGCUGUGGUGAAUGGAUCUUAAACAGUCUACCAGAGAUGGGUGACUUAUAGCUGACCCACAAUAUAGUCUGCUUGCCGUGGUAAGCCACUUCCUCAGUCGUAAUCGGAAUGGGACUUUUAUACAGAGUGAGGUUCAGAUAUCCUGUUGGGUUGUACUGGUCAAUGAAGUAGAAGGGAAAUGUAUCUCCCCAGUGAUAGAAAGGUCAAGGAGACAAGGAAACUCAUCAUUCUGGUGAGUAUGACCGUUGCGGUAUAGUUGAACGGAAAAUGAAGCCCUCUCCUAUACUGUUGUGGAAGCUAGUAAUUCGUUCACAUUUCUCUCUAUUUCACAGGUGCCUCUGCUCCCUCUAUGAAAGAAGCCUACGAAAAUUUUAAUCUUGGAAAUAGUUAUAAAUUAGGAUACUAUUACCCUCUACCAACUUCGUCCUUGUAGUGCACUUAGUUAACGUAAAGUACGUAUGAGCAUCCACGUCUUAUUUUGGGAAAAAAAGUCUUUUAGCGGGAAAGGUUUGUAUGGCUGAUUUGAAGCUCUCUCCUUCUUACUUUGUAGAUGUCAUACGAAAUAACCAUUUCGAGCAAGUGACUAAGAAGAAAUGUCAAUCUUGGAAU